CAACCAUAAAUAAGUUGGUGAUAAGAACCAGCAGAUUACAAAAAGAGGAAAAACAAACUACAUUUUUGAGGAGGAGGGAAAAGCUCCAAAGACGUGCAAGGAAUAGAAGUGGUUGAUCCUGAGGAUCCUCUUCAGUCUCAAGUUGGAAGAGGAGAAUAAAACAGAAAAGGAAGACUAGAAUAUGGAGAUAUUAAUUUUAGGAGAGGUCAAAGGUAUCCUCAAGAGAGCUGAAUAUUAUAGGAAGACAUGGAAGGAAAGGAAGAACUAGAAGAACAGAACCGCUCCGCCCCUUCCCCUCCAGUAUUAUUAGCAUGUACUGAAAGUCACAAAAACAAGGGAAGGAGCAAUUUCAGCAUAUCACUAAUUUUAAUACUGUACUGUAGGUUUACUAAAAUGCUGAAACCACCUAAAGGGUCCUUCAACACACAUUAUGCGGUGGUGGGACUCACCUUAUUCAUAUAAGUCCUUCAAUUACUAUUUCUGUACUCAUGUACUUUAACAAUGUCUAGUUCCCUGGGCUCAGUGGAGAUAAACUACACUUAUAUUUACACUUCAUACAGUGUAUGGAGAAUAGAAGAAAGUGAACAAACUUUAAAUAUGGAGCAACGGUUCUAAAAUACUUGGUAACAUUCUGCAGUAUCAAAUGCAAAAGACUUGAA